rnacentral:tRNA from 1 species
GGGGAACUGGAAGAAUUGAGUCCGGCCUUAAGACCCUGUCCCGAAGGGGUCCGCGGGUUCAAAUCCCGCCCCCCGCA